rnacentral:rRNA from 1 species
UGUUUAUUGAAUAUAAAGAAAAGACGAACAGCUCAGUAACUCUUAUUUUAUUUGAUGUAUUAGGAUUCUAACUAUGUUAAAUUAUAGAUAACAAUAAUACAAUAAGAAUAAGAUCUAUCAGUUAGUUGUUAAGGUAAUGGCUUAACAAGACUAUGACGGAUAACGGUAUUACUUUGUAAUAUUCCGGAGAAGGAGCCUGAGAGAUUGCUACUAAGUCUAAGGAUUGCAGCAGGGGCGAAACUUGACCUAUGAUAUGAUAUUGAGGCAGUUAUGAGUAGUAUUUUUAAUUAUUGUAGUAUUGUAAGUAUAUACUACAAGAUAAAUCGGAGGGCAAAUCGAGUGCCAGCAGCCGCGGUAAUACUUGUUCCGAUAGUGUGUAUGAUGAUUGAUGCAGUUAAAAAGUCUGUAGUUUAUGAUUAAUAAGCAUUGUGAGGUAUAUUGUAUGGUUAGGAGAGAGAUGAAAUGUGAUAACCCUAACUGGAUGAACAGAAGCGAAAGCUAUAUACUUAAAUGUAUUAUUAGAACAAGGACGUAAGCUAGAGGAUCGAAGAUGAUUAGAUACCAUUGUAGUUCUAGCAGUAAACUAUGUUAAAUCAUAGAUACAUUUUAUAAUAUGUAUUUAUGUAAAG